UACCUGCAGCUCAAGUGGUGGCCACUAUUAUUGGGCCUAAAACGUUCGUAGCCGGUUUAAUAAAUGCCUGGGUAAAUUGUGUAGCUUAACUAUACGAAUACCGGGUAGACUGUUAAACUUGGGACCGGGAGAGACUAGAGGUACUCCCAGGGUAGAGGUGAAAUUCUGUAAUCCUGGGGGGACCACCAGUGGCGAAGGCGUCUAGUCAGAACGGGUCUGACGGUGAGGGACGAAGCCCUGGGGCGCAAACCGGAUUAGAUACCCGGGUAGUCCAGGGUGUAAACGCUGCUCGCUUGAUGUUAGUUGGGCUCCGAGCCCAACUAGUGUCGGAGAGAAGUUGUUAAGCGAGCUGCCUGGGAAUACGGUCGCAAGACUGAAACUUAAAGGAAUUGGCGGGGAGCACAGCAACGGGUGGAGCGUGCGGUUU
rnacentral:rRNA from 1 species